rnacentral:rRNA from 1 species
GAUGAACGCUGGCGGCGUGCUUAACACAUGCAAGUCGAACGGAAAGGCCCAAGCUUGCUUGGGUACUCGAGUGGCGAACGGGUGAGUAACACGUGGGUGAUCUGCCCUGCACUUCGGGAUAAGCCUGGGAAACUGGGUCUAAUACCGGAUAGGACCACGUCUUGGAUGUUGUGGUGGAAAGUUUUUUCGGUGUGGGAUGAGCUCGCGGCCUAUCAGCUUGUUGGUGGGGUAAUGGCCUACCAAGGCGUCGACGGGUAGCCGGCCUGAGAGGGUGUACGGACACAUUGGGACCGAGAUACGGGCCAGACUCCGACGGGAGGCAGCAGGGGGGAAUAUUGCACAAUGGGCGCAAGCCUGAUGCAGCGAGGCCGCGUGGGGGAUGACGGCCUUCGGGUUGUAAACUCCGUUCGCUAGGGACGAAGCGUUUUUGUGACGGUACCUGGAGAAGAAGCACCGGCUAACUACGUG